rnacentral:lncRNA from 1 species
ACAAACUGCACCCCACUAUACUAUAAUACCAUACUGCACCCCCACUAUACUAUAAUAACAUACUGCACCCCACUAUACUAUAAUACCAUUCUGCACCCCACUAUACUAUAAUACCAUUCUGCACCCCCUCUAUAAUAUAAUAACAUAAUGCACCCCGCUAUAAUAUAAUACCAUACUGCACCCCACUAUACUAUAAUACCAUUCUGCACCCCCUCUAUAAUAUAAUAACAUACUGCACCCCGCUAUAAUAUAAUAACAUACUGCACCCCACUAUACUAUAAUAACAUUCUGCACCCCACUGUUUUGUAAAAACAUACUGCACCCCACUGUUCUAUAAUAACAAACUGCACCCCACUAUACUAUAAUAACAUACUGCACCCCACUAUACCAUAAUAACAUACGGCAUCCCACUAUACUAUACCAACAUACUGCACCCCACUAUAGUAUAAUAACAUACUGCACCCCACUAUUUUAUAAUAACAUACUAAACCCCACUAUACUAUAAUAAUGUAAUGCACUCCACUAUACUAUAAUAACAAACUGCACCCCACUAUACUAUAACAACAUACUGCACCCCAUUAUACUAUAAUAACAUACUGCACCCCACUAUUUUAUAAUAACAUACUGCACCCCACUAUACUAUAAUAACACACUGCACCCCCACUAUUCUAUAAUAACCUACUGUACCCAACUAUACUAUAACAACAUACUGCACCCCACUAUACUAUAAUACCAUACUGAACCCCACUAUACUAUAAUAACACACUGCACCUCCACUAUUCUAUAAUAACAUACUGCACCCCACUAUACAAUAAUAACAUACUGCACCCCCACUAUGCUAUAAUAACAUACUGCAUCUCACUAUACUUUUCACAUAAUAACAUACUGCACCCCACUACAAUAUUCAUGUAAUAACAUGCUGCACCCCACUUUACUAUUUAUACAAUAACAUGCUGUACCCCACUACAAUAUUCAUGUAAUAACAUACGGCACCCCACUAUACUAUUCAUAUAAUUACAUACUGCACCCCACUAUACUAUUCAUAUAAUAACAUGCUGCUCCUCCUCUGUACUAUUCAUAUAAUAACAUACUGCACCCCCACUAUUCUUUUCAUAUGUGCAUGUGUGUGUAUCUGUGUGUCUGUGUAUCUGCAAGUGUGUCAUUAUGGGUGACUUCUUAUCUGCAUGUGCGGGUGCCUGUGUAUCUGUUUGUAUUUGUGUGUAUUUUAUUUCUUUUUCCUUAAAGGUAUUUUUAUAUUACGUUUUUUCAGGUUUGUCCUAUUUGAGUAAAUACGGUAAUAACAUGACCACAUCCCCAUAUACUCUUCUUUCAUAACAUUCUGCUCCCCUACUAUACUUUUCAUUUAAUAACAUGCUGCACCCCCACUAUGCUAUUUAUAUAAUAACAUAUUGCACCCCACUAUACUAUUCAUACAAUAACAUACUGCACCCCACUAUGCUAUUCAUAAAAUAAAAUACUGCACUCCCAUUAUACUAUUCAUAUCAUAACAUGUUGCACCCCAUUAUACUAUUCAUACAAUAACAUACUGCUCCCCUCUAUACUAUUCAUAAAAAACAUACAGCACCCCACUAUACUAUUCAUAAUAUAAAAUACUGCACCCCCAUUAUACUAUUCAUAUCAUUACACGUUGCACCCCACUAUACUAUUCAUAUAACAUACUGCACCCCGUAGACUAUUCAUGUAAUAACAUACUGCACCCCACUACAAUAUUCAUGUAAUAACAUAUUGCACCCCCACUAUUCUAUUCAUAUAAUAACAUGUUGAACCCACUUUACUAUUCAUAUAACAUGACUGCACCUCCACUAUACUAUUCAUAUAAUAACACGCUGCACCUCUAUACUAUUUAUACAAUAAUAUGACUGCACUCCGCUGUACUAUUCAUAUAAUAACAUAUUGCAUCCCACUAUACUAUUCAUGUAAUAACAUGCUGCUACCCACUAUACUAUACAUAUAAAAACAUGACUGCAACCCCACUAUACUAUUCAUGUACCUUUCAACCUAUCAUCCCUGCCCCUCCCCUUUCCUUUACUUCCUUUGAAGUUCACACUGUCCGCCUUUUUAAGCCCACUCGUUUAAGAAUUGCCAUCAUCUAUCACCCCCCACCCCACUUUCUCUCCUCUUGCACUCCCUCGCUCAUACAUGGGGACCUUAACAUCCCAAUCAACAACCUCAACUGCCCUGAUGCCUCCCGUCUGCUCUCUGUAACCUCUUCCUUUGGCCUCACGCAGUUGUUUACUUCAGCAACUCAUACAGCAGGAAACACUCUUGGCAUCAUCUUCACCAAUCUCUGUACCACCUCUAAUCUCUGCACUGUUCCAUUUCCUUUGUCUGACCACCAUCUGCUAACAUUUGACAUCAGCAUACCCCAUACCCUGACGAAGGUGCAUUACACAAAGCACCGAAACACGCGUCGGGUGUUUUUCCUUUUUACUUUAUUUUGAGUAUGGGCACUGGGUAUUGAUUAGUUGAUUUAAGCACUUUUUAUUUCCAAUAUGAUUUGCUUAUGUAGCACUUUCUAACUUCUUUUCCACUAUGCCUGUCUAGCUAGAUUACCAGGGAGAGAGGCUUUAUAAAUCCUACUGUCAGUUUAUUUGAAACUGAUUUAUAGACCUAACACUGCCUACUCUCUACUCUCUCUACUUGACAUUAUCUCUCCUCUGGAAUUUUUGUGCUGUAACCCUAAACUGACUAGUGAGGUCAGUUUUCCUACCACCUCUUUUGACAUUUUAGGAUACAGUACCAAGAGGAGAGUCAGUAAUAGAUCAGAGACGGGACUACUACUUGGGAUUGAUCUUUUAAUUUAAGCAAGUUUCCUAUUAAAGCUUAAUUUUAGUGUCUCUAUAUCAUAUCCCUAUACAUGGAUGGUAGCUAUCCCUACCUGAUUCUAUCCUGUAUGCAUAGUGGUAUUAGCUACACUUGUAUAUACUUUAUUUUCCACUUACUUAAUGGUCUCUUUUUUCGUUCUGGGAUAUAUUAGCCAUUGAAUUAAUAUUUAAACCUACUUUGCUAUAUAUUUAUCCAUAUGAUGUACCUGGUCUCCUGACCUUGUUUGCACUGAGACCAGAAGCAUCUGUCUUUUGUUUUUCUCUUUACUAUAUAUAUUGGGGUUAAGCCCCUGGAGACCCCUGGAGUCUCCUUGCGGUACAUAAGACUUGGAGUCAUUACCGGCACUAUUACCCUAGGGUCUAGUGCAUGGGAUUGUACUCCGUGUCUUUUAUUUCUUUUUACCCCAUACCCAAAUUUCACCACCCUCAACUCUCCAAUCUCGCAGAAACCUAAACUUCCUUGAUCUCCAGCAUUUCUCCUCCAAAUUCAAAACUCUCCUUUUACCCAUCUCAAAUCUAACUUGCCCUAACUCUGCUACCUCACUCUACAACUCAACUCUCUCCUCUCAACUCAACAUCAUGGCACCUACUACAAUUAAAUGCAGCAAGCACCCCCAAUUACAACCCUGGCAAACCAAACUGAUCCCUUACCUCCAAAAAUGUUCUAGAACUGCUGAACACUGCUGGAGAAAGUCUCACUUUGCAUCUGACUUCCUCCACUAUAAAUUUAUGCUGCGCUCCUACAGCCUGGCUCUUUCCGCUGCAAAAGUAAAUUACUUUAACACCCUCAUAAGUACACUGUCCCAUCAACCCAAACACCUAUUUCACACUUUUGAUGCUCUUCUUCGCCCUUUUCAUCCCCCUCCUUCUACCACCUUGUCCGCCACAAACUUUGCAUCUCAUUUCACUGAGAUCUCUACAAUCAGAGAAGAGAUCGCUAAUUUCUCUCCUUCCCCUACUAAUACAUCACCCAACCCCACUCCCUCCACCAUUCUACACUUAUUCACACCUGCUACAGCAGAAGUGGUUUCUGUUCUGCUCCGGUCCUCCCGCCCCACCACCUGUUCCUUCAUAUCUCAUCUGCACUUUGUCUCCCUCUCUUGCUCUUCCUCUCAAUAAAAGUUUCAAUCUCUCCCUUUCCUCUGGCACAUAUCUCUCACCCUUCAAACAUGCAACAGUAACCCCAGUUCUGAAAAAAUCCAGCCUUGACCCCAACUCCCCAUCCAACUACCGCCCUAUCUCGCUACUACUAUUUGCUUCCAAGAUCCUCAAGAGAGUUUUUUACACCAGACUGACUGACUUUCUUGAAACCAACUCUCUGCUUGACCCCCCUCAGUCUGGAUUCCGCGCUGGUCAUUCUGUCGAAACGGCUGUGACCAAAGUAUCCAACUAUUUAAUUGCUGUUAAAUCUCGUGGCCAUUAUUCUAUCCUAAUUCUCCUUGAUCUUUCUGCUGCCUUUGACACUGUUCAUCAACAACAGCUUUUUCGCAUUCUCCGUAAUUUUGGUCUACGGGAUACUGCUCUCUCCUGGUGCUCCUCCUACCUCUCCCAGCGCUCUUUCAGUGUUUCAUACUCUGACUCUGCCUCUUCCCUCCAACCACUCUUUGUCGGCGUCCCCCAAGGUUCUGUCCUUGGUCCUCUACUGUUCUCUAUCUACACUGCCUCCCUUGGUAAACUCAUCAGCAAAUUUGGCUUCCGUUAUAAUUUCUAUGUGGAUGACAUGCAAAUCUACCUGUCCUCUCCUGAUAUCUCUCCACCUAUCUUGAUUAGGUCUCUGACUGCAUCUCUUCGAUUUCCAAAUCGAUGGCUGUUCACUUCCUUAACCCCUAUAGAACACAUGACAUGUGUGACAUGUCAUGAUUCCCUUUUAUUCCAGAAGUUUGGUCCUUAAGGGGUUAAACUCAACCUGUCCAGAAAAUAACUUCUGGUCUUUCCUCUCUCAAGUGUUAACACUCUCGUGUCUGUCUCCCUCCUAGUCAAUGGUGCUACCAUCAACUCUACCUCGCAGGCUUGCUGCCUGGGUGUUCUUUUUGACUCCAACCUCUCCUUCACCCCUCAUGUCCAAUCAAUCGCCAAAUCCUGUCGCUUCCAUCUCAAAAACAUAGUGCGCACCCGCCCCUACUUAACCCCGGAUGCGGCUAAGGUGCUGGUCCAUGCUCUUGUUCUCUCUUGCCUGGACUACUGCAAUACUCUUCUCAGUUAUCUUACGUUUUCCCAGAUUGCACCGUUGCAAUCUAUGAUGAAUGCAGCAGCGAGGCUCAUUUUCCUGUCCACUCGCACCUCCCACGCCUCUCCGCUCUGUCAGUCCCUGCAUUGGCUUCCAGUUAGAUAUAGGGCUCAAUUUAAAAUUCUGGUGCUUGCUUACAAGUCCCUACAUAAUGCUGCUCCAACCUACCUAUCCUCCCUAAUACACAAGUAUGUCCCGUCGAGGCCCCUACGCUCUGCCAAAGACCUACGUAUAAGACCUCUGUACGUACUCCCACCUCUAACGCUCACCUCCAAGAUUUUUCCAGGGUUGCACCUCUUCUGUGGAAAUCCCUUCCCUUCUCCGUAAGAUUUUCACCCAGUCUCCACUCAUUCAAAAAAUUAUUGAAAACUCACUUCUAAGUAAAGUGUGUCUGUCUGUGUGUCUAUCAGUGAGUGUGUGUGUCUGUCUGUCUGUGAGUGUGUGUGUCUGUGUGUGUCUGUCAGUGUCUGUGUGUGUGUCUGUCACUGAGUGUGUGUGUCUGUCAGUGAGUGAGUGUGUUUGUCAGUGAGUGUGUAUGUGUUGGUCAGUAUUUCAUUGGCUGCGACUGGACAGUGGAGUACCUGGAGGUGCAUGGAGGCACGCAACGCCACGUCACAUUCUGACGUGACAGACAUCGUCAUGCUCCACCUUGACAGGACUUCAAAACGUAGCAGGAGUAUCAGAUUAGGCACAGGGUGCGGACAGCGCCAUUUGGCUAGAGGGGAAUGCUGGGAUUUAGUAGAAAGGGAGGACCGGGAUUUAUUAGAGGUGAGUGCUGUGGUUUAGUAGAUGGGGAGACUGAGAUUUAGUAGAGGGGGGUGCUGUGGUUUAAUAAUGGGGGAUGUUGUGUUUUUUUUAUACUGUAUUUUUCAAAAUAAACCUACGUUUCUAUGAAAAAAGUUUUUUUUUGCGGCCCACAUAAACUUAACGUACUGCACCCCUCUGUACUAUUCAUAUAAUAACAAACUGCACCCCACUAUACUAUUCAUAUAAUAACAUACUGCACCCCUUGAUACUAUUCAUAUAAUAACAUACUGCACCCCACUACAAUAUUCAUAUAAUAACAUACUGCACCCCAUUAUACUAUUUAUAUAAUAACAUACUGCACCCCACUACAAUAUUCAUAUAAUAACAUACUGCACCCCAUUAUACUAUUUAUAUAAUAACAUACAUCACCCCUCGAUACUAUUCAUAUAAUAACAUACUGCACCCCACUACAAUAUUCAUAUAACAUACUGCACCCCAUUAUACUAUUUAUAUAAUAACAUACAGCACCCCUCGAUACUAUUCAUAUAAUAACAUACUGCACCCCACUACAAUAUUCAUAUAAUAACAUACUGCACCCCAUUAUACUAUUUAUAUAAUAACAUACAACACCCACUAUAUUAUUCAUAUAAUAUGACUGCACCCCAUUAUACUAUUCAUAUAAUAACAUACUGCACCCCCACUAUACUAUCCAUAUAAUAACAUGCUGCACCCCAUUAUACUAUUUAUAUAAUAACAUACUGCACCCCACUACAAUAUUCAUAUAAUAACAUACUGCACCCCACUACAAUAUUCAUAUAAUAACAUACUGCACCCCAUUAUACUAUUUAUAUAAUAACAUACAGCACCCCUCGAUACUAUUCAUAUAAUAACAUACUGCACCCCACUACAAUAUUCAUAUAAUAACAUACUGCACCCCACUACAAUAUUCAUAUAAUAACAUACUGCACCCCACUACAAUAUUCAUAUAAUAACAUACUGCACCCCAUUAUACUAUUCAUAUAAUAACAUACAGCACCCCAUUAUACUAUUCAUAUAAUAACAUGCUGCACCCCAUUAUACUAUUUAUAUAAUAACAUACAGCACCCCUCGAUACUAUUCAUAUAAUAACAUACUGCACCCCACUACAAUAUUCAUAUAAUAACAUACUGCACCCCACUACAAUAUUCAUAUAAUAACAUACUGCACCCCAUUAUACUAUUCAUAUAAUAACAUACAGCACCCCAUUAUACUAUUCAUAUAAUAACAUACAGCACCCCCACUAUACUAUCCAUAUAAUAACAUGCUGCACCCCAUUAUACUAUCCAUAUAAUAACAUACAGCACCCCUCGAUACUAUUCAUAUAAUAACAUACAGCACCCACUAUAUUAUUCAUAUAAUAUGACUGCACCCCAUUAUACUAUUCAUAUAAUAACAUAGAGCACCCCCACUAUACUAUCCAUAUAAUAACAUGCUGCACCCCAUUACACUAUAUGACGUUAAACUAAAAGAUGUCUGUCACUGGAGUAAAACAUCAAAUAACAAUAAUAUACUGUUUUGUACGUAUUACCUCUGCUUACUUAAUUCUUUAUCCCUUUCUCUCUCUCUCUGUUCUGCAAACAUCUAUAAAGUUAACAACACGUCUACAUUAAUAAACAUACAUAGAUCACACGUUUACUAAUCUCCCUUGUUUGUUCCCCCUAAACAUUUAUAUCCUAACACAAUUAAAGAUUAAUUUAGGGAUUUAUUAAUUUGCCUUUCUUCUGAUUAUCAAUGAUCUAUACUAAUAAACAAUAUAACAGCACCACCUACUGUCAG